rnacentral:lncRNA from 1 species
AUGAUGAUACAGACUGAUAACUCCAGAACCUUCCCUCCUCUCUGCCACCAGCAAGGCUCAAUGAAACAGAAGAAAGCAACCAGCAGGUCUGAUGAGGAGAGGACCUCAGGAACAGGAGAUGGACCCCAGACUAUAACCAAGAACUCCUAUAUCAACUCACAGAAUGGCCUGGGUUGCCAGAUGGUAGGUGACUUUAGGGUGGCAGAAGAAACCCCGGGGUCACUCAUUGAUUUCCACACCUCUUUCCAAGACUCACUGUUUUGUGAUGGUGCCUCCUGUUGGCUGAACCCAGAAGGUGCAAGAGCCUUGAAGAUGAAAUUCAUCAUUGGUCUCCUGAGAGUAGAUUUUGAGGAACAAAUGGAAGAUAUCUGGCCCAUGUGUGUUUGCAGGUAUGUGUAUGUGCACAUGUUUAUAUAUGUAAAAAUAUAUGUGUUUGUCACUGGGUACAUGCUUCCCACGUAGGAUCUCUGUCCUUAAUGUGUUCUACUAUGAAACUUAAAAAACAACACUACCAGUCGAACAAUACCCUAUACCUUGUGUGGUUGUGUGAGUGCAGCCUGUUGAAAUCCCUGCUUAGUAUAUACUAAGUUGAUUUUCAGUAUAUGAAGGUAAUUGAAAAUGAAAUUCGAUGAAGGGCGGGAUGGGAGAGGGAGUGGGAGAGAGGAGGGCCAUGGGAGGGAGGGAGGUUGGGUGGUGGGAAGCCACAACAAUACAAAAGUUGCACUUUGUAAAUUCACAUUUAUUAAAUAAAAAAUAACUAUAUAACA